GCAGCAACAUCUAGUGCAAAGCCUUCCCAGAAGAGUAGAGGUUGUUAUAACAGCAAAGGGGGGACCAACUCCAUAUUAAUGCCCAUGAUUUUGGAAUGAGAUGCUCAAUGAGCAGGUGUCUACAUACUCAUGUAUGUACAUGCAAGCUUAAAACAAAAUGCACAGAACAGACUCCUCCACUUGAAUCCAGGCUGAAAAAAAGAAAAAAAAAGGCUGAAGUGAUAUAUUGCUUAAUGUCCUCCUGACAUGCUUCCUCUGCCCCUGUUUCAGGUUCUGAUGGAUGAUCCUCAAAGAGCUCUGUCCAGAACUCAACGUGGGGACGGACCAGAUCUGAUAGCAGGUGUCUACAUACUCAUGUUCUGAUGGAUGAUCCUCAAAGAGCUCUGUCCAGAACUCAAAGUGGGGACGGACCAGAUCUGAUAGUGUGAGGCUUAUACUGUAUGUACACAACACAGGAUAGUGUAUGGCUAAUGUGGAGCAGAACCCUAAUUUUAAGGCUGCUCAUCCCAAAUUGCACUUUUGACCAGAGCCCCUCUUCUCCCAUAGGCCAUAAAGUAGUGCACUAUAAGGAAAAGGGUGUCAUUUGGGACUAACUCUGACCCAGUGAAGGACAUGGUGGUGCUCCUGGAGAUCUAUGUGGGCUUAAGUUAUAUAUUUUAUUUUCAAAAGAGAGACACUCAAAAGAUUAUGUAUUGUGAAGGAUUAUAUAUUUUGUUUUGUAAAUCUUCAUUUUUAUUCAACAGAUAGAUCAUGAAAUUAAACAUGACAUCAACACAAAUGUACUAUGAUGUUCCAGCAGAGUAUAAUUCAAAAUGUGAUUUAACUGAAUCCAAAUGGAUUAUGUAUUUUCUGUUGUUGUUCUGAGGUACCUUUUUAUCUGAAUACAGUUGAUUAUUUAGAGCUCAAACUAGGGAGACAAGCUUUGGUUCGUGUUACUGCGUUACAUAUUUUUGUUCAGUUACACUGCCAAGAUCCAUUGCAGAAAGCCAGGCUGUUUGAUUGAUGUCUUUGUUUGUUGUGGAUCCAGGUAGGAUUUCCAAAAUGUGAAUAGUUGUGAAAUGAUGAGUUUUGUGCCCAUAUGAAGAAAGAAAAACUGCAUACCAACCUCGGACACAUUCCUGACCAAUAUGUUACAUGUAUAUGUUCUUUGUACAAUGGCUUCAUUGUGUAAUAUGUCAUGUAAAGUAAUUGUGACAAUUUUAUUUGUGAUUUAUUGAUAAUUAUUUUUUGAUAAAAAUGAAUUCUAAGAGUGUUUAUAAGCAAUAAAUUGCUAAAGAAAAAUGUU